ACAUAAGCGGAGGAAAAGAAACCAACAGGGAUUGCCUUAGUAACGGCGAGUGAAGCGGCAAAAGCUCAAAUUUGAAAUCUGGCACCUUCGGUGUCCGAGUUGUAAUUUGAAGAAGGUAACUUUGGAGUUGGCUCUUGUCUAUGUUCCUUGGAACAGGACGUCACAGAGGGUGAGAAUCCCGUGCGAUGAGAUGCCCAAUUCUAUGUAAAGUGCUUUCGAAGAGUCGAGUUGUUUGGGAAUGCAGCUCUAAGUGGGUGGUAAAUUCCAUCUAAAGCUAAAUAUUGGCGAGAGACCGAUAGCGAACAAGUACAGUGAUGGAAAGAUGAAAAGAACUUUGAAAAGAGAGUGAAAAAGUACGUGAAAUUGUUGAAAGGGAAGGGCUUGAGAUCAGACUUGGUAUUUUGCGAUCCUUUCCUUCUUGGUUGGGUUCCUCGCAGCUUACUGGGCCAGCAUCGGUUUGGAUGGUAGGAUAAUGACUAAGGAAUGUGGCUCUACUUCGGUGGAGUGUUAUAGCCUUGGUUGAUACUGCCUGUCUAGACCGAGGACUGCGU
rnacentral:rRNA from 1 species